rnacentral:rRNA from 1 species
GAUGAACGCUGGCGGCGUGCUUAACACACGCAAGUCGAACGGUGAACGAGGGAGCUUGCUCCCUCCGGAUCAGUGGCGAACGGGUGAGUAACACGUGAGCAAUCUGCCCUGGACUCUGGGAUAAGCGUCGGAAACGACGUCUAAUACCGGAUACGAGGCGUGGGGGCAUCCCCAACGCCUGGAAAGAACUUCGGUCCAGGAUGAGCUCGCGGCCUAUCAGCUAGUUGGUGAGGUAACGGCUCACCAAGGCGACGACGGGUAGCCGGCCUGAGAGGGUGACCGGCCACACUGGGACUGAGACACGGCCCAGACUCCUACGGGAGGCAGCAGUGGGGAAUAUUGCACAAUGGGCGCAAGCCUGAUGCAGCAACGCCGCGUGAGGGACGACGGCCUUCGGGUUGUAAACCUCUUUUAGCAGGGAAGAAGCGAAAGUGACGGUACCUGCAGAAAAAGCACCGGCUAACUACGUGCCAGCCGCCGCUGUAACAC